GUCUACAGCCAUACCACCCUGAACAUGCCUGAUCUCAUCUGAUCUCAGAAGCUAACAGAGCUGGCCAGUUAGUACUUAGAAGGGAGAAUUAUAUCUGUUGGCA
rnacentral:rRNA from 1 species